rnacentral:lncRNA from 1 species
AUUUUUUCUUUUUUUAUUAGUCCGAAACUCAAUCUCUUUCUCUUUACAAACCCAAUCUCUCUCUCUUGCUUAAGUCGAAACUCAGUCUCUCUCUCUCUCAUCCAAAUUUCCCUUAUCUCUCUCUAAACAAUUGGGCACACCACAAGAAGAAGGAAAAAUGUUUCAUGCUGGACCUCAUUUCUACAUAUGCGGUCUAGCAAAUGUAAAGCAUCUAUCUUAAAAUAGAUGCAAGUAGGUGUUACAUCUAAAAACAAUAGAAACUAACGAUCAAUAUGUUUUCUUACUAUAAUUGUUAUUUCUAGUUUUAAAAAUUUAUUUAUUUUUUUCAUAUUCAUGAUCUCCAUGUUAGAAAAUAGAUGUCCUUAAAAAUUAAGUCUUAAAAUCCAUAUCAAAAAUUGAUUUAUUAAGAAGCCCUUAUUUCUUCAUACAAGGGCUUAGCCGCAUAGAAACCAGGUCUCAAAAAGAAUCCUUAUUAGGUUCCCUUGUCUCUCUCAAUCAAAUUUCCCUUAUAUUUCUAACCCAAAUUCCUCGAAG